GACGAACCGUGCAAACGUUGUUCGGAAUCACUGGGCAUAAAGGGCGCGUAGGCGGCCCGACCAGUCUGCGGUGAAAGCCCCCCGCUCAACGGGGGAAGGGCCGUGGAUACUGUCGGGCUCGAGGGAGACAGGGGCAGGUGGAACUUCCGGUGGAGCGGUGAAAUGCGUUGAGAUCGGAAGGAACUCCGGUGGCGAAAGCGGCCUGCUGGAUCUCUACUGACGGCUGAGGCGCGAAAGCCAGGGGAGCAAAGCGGG
rnacentral:rRNA from 1 species